rnacentral:rRNA from 1 species
UACGUAGGGGGCAAGCGUUGUCCGGAUUUAUUGGGCGUAAAGAGCGUGUAGGCGGCUAGGUAGGUCCGUUGUGAAAAACUCGAGGCUCAACCUCGAGACGCCGGUGGAAACCUCUAGCUAGAGUCCGGAAGAGGAGAGUGGAAUUCCUGGUGUAGCGGUGAAAUGCGCAGAUAUCAGGAAGAACACCGGUGGCGAAGGCGGGUCUCUGGGCCGAUACUGACGCUGGAGGAGCGAAA